GACGUAGGGUGCAAGCGUUGUCCGGAUUUAUUGGGCGUAAAGAGCUCGUAGGCGGCUCAGUAAGUCAGGUGUGAAAACUCCAGGCUCAACCUGGAGACGCCACCUGAUACUGCUGUGGCUAGAGUCCGGUAGGGGAGCAUGGAAUUCCUGGUGUAGCGGUGAAAUGCGCAGAUAUCAGGAGGAACACCAGUGGCGAAGGCGGUGCUCUGGGCCGGAACUGACGCUGAGGAGCGAAAGCGUGGGGAGCAAACAGG
rnacentral:rRNA from 1 species